rnacentral:rRNA from 1 species
GGAAGAACACCAGUGGCGAAGGCGGCUUACUGGACGGUAACUGACGUUGAGGCUCGAAAGCGUGGGUAGCAAACAGGAUUAGAUACCCUGGUAGUCCACGCCGUAAACGAUGAAUGCUAGGUGUCGGGAAGCAUUGCUUUUCGGUGCCGCCGUAAACGCAUUAAGCAUUCCACCUGGGGAGUACGUUCGCAAGAAUAAAACUCAAAGGAAUUGACGGGGACCCGCACAAGCGG